AACUCCUAGACCAUCUACGUUUCUUCACCUUAGACAAUAUCACGAGAACAAAGCCCGGCCUGAUUUUGCUCAAGAUAAACUGAAGUCCAGUCAAUGCAAGAACCCCCAAACUUAAUCUCACCAGAACCUCACCAUUAAUCAACACCAUUUAAUCAAGACAAAUCCAUAAACCAAGUCUGUUCUUUGCUCAAUCUCUCCUUGCACCGAUUACAACAGCUCAAUCAUCUCCACCAAUUCUCACUGACUCCAUUGAUGCCGCUGCUUCGAACUAGACUGCAGUAUAUCAUGACCAACACCAACAUCUCGUUUGCUGCCAAUUCACUCUCCAUCUCGGUUACGAUCUCCACCAGCAAUUUAUAGCACAAUCAAUUAUCUUUAUCUAUUUCCUCUCAAAACAGACCCAAUCUUCAUUCAUGCAAUUUUAUCCCUAAAUUCCGUACUACAACUCCAUAGACAUUCAAUCAAUCCUUUAAUUAAUCCCUAAAUUCCACUAUUCAAUCAGUCUCUUAAUUAAUCAUCUACUUGGUGUUGCAGACGGGCCAAAAUUGGUCUUGGAUGUUUUCGUGAGAUUGAGAAGGUGUUGGCGGAUGGUUUUUACAGUGAACACAACAGUAAAAGCUAGGUCCAAGAGUUCUAGAUUCAAAUAUGUGAUUUUGUAUGGGAUUCUAGGUUUAAAUUGGAUUUGACCGUAAUUGGCCUUAAUUGUUUGCUGGAAGAUUAAUAGAAAGCCAGAUGUUGUUGUUGUUCAACCAAGUGGUGAAUGGAUGAUCUCGACAUGGUUUGUAUGUUAUUGAAUUUGGGCAGUGAGAAGACGGCAAAGAUGAACUUGAUGUUGUUGCUGCCGGAUGAACUCGACGUGGUCUACCUGUUUGAUGAAAUGCCCCAAAAAAGGCACGAACUAUAGUGACAUGAUUCAAGGGCAUAAAUGUCGUUUACUAAGCUAAACUACUGCCACCUAUGCACUAGCGGAUGUUAACUUUUUUGUGAAAAAAAUGGAUGGAAAAGAUCAAAUGUGUGGCACUAAAUAAAUUGUGAAAAAAACUAUGACACUUUCUUAAACAUGAAAUUGAAAGUGUGACACUUUGGUUUUAGUCCCAACAGUCGGUUAUUUGCGAAACGUUCAUCGUUUGGCAUACACUAACGCACUAUUAAUUUCUCUUCCAUCCUCCGUAUCACAUCAAUUGAUAAAAUUGGAAAACCAAGAAAAUUUCAAGCGAAAAACCUCAAAAAAUUAUAUACCAGAAUCGGUUGAAUUCCGAAUUUCUCAUCUCCCCAAAAAAUCUCCCAAUCGAUUAUUCACUGUUCUAAGCACUUCAGAGGUAUCCAAAACUGCAAAAAUAAUAAAAAUAUUCUACACAUGAAACAAAGAAUUGGGAAUCUGAACUCUUGCAUUGUAGUUUAACAAAAGAAGAGAAGAGAAACAAGAGAGUAUUUAUCAGUUGAACGGACAGUGAGCAGGAGGCCAUUCCAUGCUCUUCUGGAUGUUGGUAUUCUUAUUGGUAGAUGCUUCGAAAAAAAAGAGUUACUUGGAGAUAUUCACCACAAAACAAAUUUGGUGGGCAUGUUACUGCAUACAUGAGGGUGUUAGUGCAGGACGGGCCUAAGAAGUACCCAAAUCAUUUUAGUCAGUUCAUCAAAAAGAAAAAAAAAAGAAAAAAAGGCUGAUGGUCUAGAAGAGUUGUACAAGAGUAUAAGGUGAGAGAGAAGCGGAUUUCGCAAAUAUGAAUACAAGGCAUCUGAGGCUAUGUUGCAGUCCUAAUUAAUGAUGGGAUGCGUAUAAUUGGUGGGGAGAUUUUAUGCUUCAUUCACAACAACAUCCUAUGCUAUACCAAAUCAUGGCAUACUCAAAAGGUUCAACAAAUAAACCAUUAACUCGGGAUGUUAUGUUGGAGGCAAUAGAUAAAAGGGGAGGGACGUUAUUGGAGCUUGGUUCAACAAAUAAACCAUUAACUCGGGAUGUUAUGUUGGAGGCAAUAGAUAAAAGGGGAGGGACGUUAUUGGAGCUAAGCCUGCAACAUAUUGGGUGACCUUAAUUUUGGUGUAGCUGGUGUAAUUUUGAUAUUUAAUAUCUUUAUUUGUUAGACUUUUUAAAUCUCUCACCCGUAAUACUUCAUACAUAACCGAUUCACAUUAUUAUCGUUGGAUUGUUCAAUGUCUUAUCUCAAUGCCUUCAUUUUUUCUCCAUUUCAGUUUUCGCUAUCUUUUGGACUUGGUAGCUAGCCGUCUUCGUUGAUGUGCUGCUUGGACAUGGAACAUGAGGUUUUAUCUAAUGAACACAAGUCUCACUCCUUGAUCUUUUGAAUGAGUUCCUUAAAAGAUUUAUCAGGUGUUAGCGAGACGAGCCUGAAAAGUACCCAAAUUAUAUUAGUCAGUUCAACAACAAAAAAAAAGAAGCCUGUGGCUGAUGGUCUUAGAAGACUUGUACAAGAAGGUCCCUGUUGGCUUGCAUCAUAUUUCAUGUUUUGAUAGCAUAAGGUGAGAGCGAAGCGGUCUUUGUAACAUCAAUGAAAGGCUUCAUCUGAAUCAGGGUUUUUUUAUGCUACGUAUGAAUGGUUACUCCGCCAAAAUGGAACUUGAUAAAAUACUUUAGCUUUUAAUUUAGGUGGCUUCAGCAUAUAUGAAACCUGUCGGAAGAGGAAGACUUGAUAGCAUUAACAAAGCUGCACCUGAGGUUUGCAGCCAGAGUUUGUAUCUUGACAGUGCCAAUGCAACACCAAUAUUGUGUGGAAGCCGUAAUCAGGCGUUUGAGAGAUAUUUGAUAGGGCAGCAGACCAGUUGGAGGAAUAACCGUAGUUCUGGGAGGCGCAAUCUGACAAACUUUUCCAGUAGUAGAAAAAGGCGGACGUGACAGGUUUCCGGGCCAUCUCUGAGGAGCAAUUCUUUGGAAUAAUAACGGUGUACUGAGACUGACACAGAACAUAAACCAAAACUUUGAAAAGUAUACAGUUUGUAAAAUUCCUACUCGAGGACUUGAGGUUGCAGCGUUAUAAUAAAAGAGCAUAAAAAUAAUUCUGUUGCAUAGGAAGGAAUGUUUCAAACCUGUAUAAUUUAGAUGGAUUUGACUAUUGUGAAGUAUGGGUAUAACUAAAUUUUAUACUCCCAA